GUGAAUCAUCAAAUUUUUGAACGCAAAUUGCACUCUCCUCGGAGAGUAUGCCUGUUUGAGGGUCAGCCUAAAAAAAAUCGACAUCGUUGCGCUUUCUCGGUGACGUUCGCCGGAAAUUGGGUCUUCUUAAACCUUUUGGUUUAAAGCGCUUUAAAAUUUUCUUUACGAUUCCACAACCGUUCCUAAGAUUUAUUUAAACGUUUACGUUAUCGAUCUUU
rnacentral:misc_RNA from 1 species